rnacentral:rRNA from 1 species
GACGAACGCUGGCGGCGUGCUUAACACAUGCAAGUCGAACGGAAAGGCCCCUUUGGGGGUACUCGAGUGGCGAACGGGUGAGUAACACGUGAGUAACCUGCCCUUGACUUCGGGAUAACUUCAGGAAACUGGGGCUAAUACCGGAUAGGAAUCCUUGCUGCAUGGUGGGGGUUGGAAAGCUUCGGCGGUUUUGGAUGGACUCGCGGCUUAUCAGCUUGUUGGUGGGGUAGUGGCUUACCAAGGCUUUGACGGGUAGCCGGCCUGAGAGGGCGACCGGCCACAUUGGGACUGAGAGACGGCCCAGACUCCUACGGGAGGCAGCAGUGGGGAAUAUUGCACAAUGGGCGGAAGCCUGAUGCAGCAACGCCGCGUGCGGGAUGACGGCCUUCGGGUUGUAAACCGCUUUCAGCAGGGGCGAAGCUUUUGUGACGGUACCUGCAGAAGAAGCACCGGCUAACUACG